UGAGUUUCCUAUCAAUACAAUUCUAGCAUGGAUAAUAAACGAUUAUCAUGAACAAGGAAAUAUAAUAAUAAUCAAUUUAUUAUUGCCUCUAGGGCAUAUUUCCAACAGAGGAAGCCUUUGUAGAAGCUUUCAAUGCCAUCAGAAGCAAUGUGGAUACACAAACUUGGUUGGACAGCAUCUACAAAGUAAAAGAGAAAUGGGCAAGAUGUUACAUGAGGAAUGCUUACACUAUAGGCAUGAGAAGCACACAAUUAAGUGAGAGCUUGAACAGUGACUUGAAAGACCAUCUAAAGUCUGAUCUUGACAUCCUUCGGUUUUUCAAGCAUGUAGAGAGGGCUGUGCAAGAGAAAAGAGAUAACGAGGUAAAUGAGGAAUACGAGUCUAGGAAAAAAUUACCUAGAGUCAGAAUGAGGACUCCUAUGGUAAUACAAGCGAGCAAGGUUUACACACCACGCAUAUUUGAAGAUUUUCAGAAUGAAUAUGAAAGAUCCAUCUCAGCAUACAUCAAGCCAUCGAUGGAACACAAUGCAUAUAUUGUUGCAAUUGCAAGUCUUGACCCAGAAUUCACAUAUGAAGAAGAGUGCAAAGUUGUAGUUGCUUAUGAAGAGCAAAAAGUUUUCUGCGAUUGUAAGCAAUUUGAAAGAGUUGGUAUAUUGUGUAGUCAUGCUUUGAAAGCACUUGAUGUCAUGAAUAUUAAGUACCUUCCAGGACACUAUAUUUUGAAGCGAUGGACUCGAGAAGCGCGAAGCGGCACUAUACAAAACAGCCAUGGAAACAUUGUUUUGGAAGAUCCUAGAUCAGAAGAUAGACAACAGUUGAAGUUUUUCAUGCACGAGUUCCUUGGCAUAGCUUCACAGGCAGUUACAUCAGAAGAGUGUAUCAAACUAGUAGAUGAUGCUUUGAAGAAUCUUAGGAAGCAAGUUGAAGAGAAAGCUCAUACUACUACGUGCAGAACUGAAGAUAUAUCUAAAGAACCAGACGAUUGUUUAAAGGAUGCUUGCCUAAAGAAAAAGGAAAUUCCAAAGAAAAAAUCAAGAAGAAAGAAAUCAUGGCUUGACAAUCAGCACCCUAAUAAAAAGAAGAAGGAGACAACUAAAGCGGUACCCAAAAAUCAAAAUCAUUCUGUAAAUCUCUUGCACAUGUCUAACUGGACUACUUAUUAAAUAGAGUAAUAUAGUAACAACUCAACUAACAUUGGUUUUGUUUUGUUUUUAUUUUUGCAUAGGGAGGAAAGAAUGACAUUUCAGUAGAACAAUACCAAGCACCUAUAGAGUAAAUGGCUGGAACAAAUGCAAAUGGUUUGCAAGAAUAUGGGUACUAUGCUCAUUUACUGACGGUAUUUCCACCUACCACGUCUAAAAUUCAUAAAAUUCAUUGUUAAGCAAUAUGAUACUUCAUAUAAUCAGUUAUAUAUCCCUUAAUUUGCAGAGUGAAGCCGAUGAUCUUUGGAACUUACAAAACUAUCAUGGGAUAGGUUGAUGAAUAUGUGUUAUUUUGUCUUGCUAGAUCGACAGAUUAUGCAGAAGGAAUAUCUGAAUCAGCACACAUGGGAGCCAAUCUGUUGAGUGUUCAUUAUUUCACUGCAAUCGGUUUAGUCUCAGUUCACUCCUAGUUUCCGAAGACAGAACAAUCAGUUUAAUUUCGGUUUACUACAACAAUGAUCUGUUGAUUACUUAUCACUUUUAAAUAUUCUAGUGAGAUGGUUACAACUAUGUACCACAAUAGGUUUUUAUCUCUCCAUGUACGGUGUACAAUCAUAUACAACAUGGACUGCUAGUGGCACUAUUUGAUCAUCAGCACAAGCACUAAUUCUUCAGGUAGUGAUCUGAAUAACUGGACAGAGACGCAAGUGACCACUGUCACAACAUAACUGUAAUUAAACUCAGCACACAUGCAUGUACUCUCUACUGGCUAUUGACUAACCAUAUUGCCAUGAAAGAUUAAUAGAUAGUCAAACAAGCACAUGUUCUCGAACUAAUGAUGAAAAAAAUGAAUAAAUUAGUUCUAAGUAAUUCACCUUGGGUUUUGCUAGUGGGGCUACGCCGGGCAGGAGGGCGCCGAGGUCGACCGUGCUGCUCCGAGACAUCACCGUCGUCCUAUUCCUCGUCGAGCUCGUCGGGGGAGACUCCAGCUUGCCGUUGUCGUCAGGCUCGUCGAUUUCGUCGUUGCUCUGCUGCUUGUGUAGUUCGUCGUCUCGCUGCUACUAGCAGCCAGAGACAUGUGGCGGUGCAGCAGCGGCGUAUUCGGUCGGCUCCCGCAGCAGUGCGCUCUCCGGCCAUCCCUUGCAGCUGCCGGUAGAAGCCAUGGGGCACGGCCGCACGGGGAUGGAUAAGAAGCAGCGCGCAGAGAGGCAGGGAUAUAGAGGGAGGGAAUCGCCAGAGCAGUUCGGGGCGAGCGAAUAUGGCCGGAGCAGCGGAGUGUACCUGGAUUUCGCUCGGCCGGAGCAGUGUUGUGGAUUGGGGAAAACAGUGGCCGAGCUUCUCUAGACGAAAGAGAUAAGAGAGAGAGAGAGUGGGGAAUGGUG
rnacentral:lncRNA from 1 species